AAUAGCAAUGGAUUAGUACGCGGUCACUACAGCGCCAUAUACUUGGUUGACAAUGAAUCCAGUGCCCAGUUUUGAUUGAGCAGUGACUCGGGAAGUAGUGUUCCGUUUGAUCUACAUAUUUUGAAAAAGUGCUUGACAAACGGUAGCUACUGAAAGACCUAUAUCAUUGGAAAUUUCGUGGAUUCCGUAACUCGGAGAUUUUUCCAUCAGCACUGAUUCGUACUUGACAGAGGUCGAAGAUGCCUAGUUCUCCGCAAUACGGUUCGACUUUCAACUACUAUACCUACGUUGUGCUGAAGAAUUCGUA